UUAAAUCAUAAAUCUUGAAUCCUAUUUCAAUGACUUUUUACACCCCCUGCCCCAAGAGUUCAUACUUAUUUACAAGAAAUGCCAUCCAAAUUUCUGUUUUUGUAUAAGUUUUCCACCUCACAAAUUUCCAGCACAUGCUCACUUUCUCUUUGUGUAAAAUUUGGACACAUGUUCUACACCACGUGACACUGUCCAACCCAUUCCACAGCCCAAACUCUACCCUCUCUUUUGCCAUGUCUUCAUUUGGCAACAGAACAAAAAGAAACUCGUUGCGCAGUAUAGGAGCUUUCCUAUUUCGUGAUUAUCCCCAGCUGAUCACAGUUUGACCAUGAUACUGUCUUCAGAAUAUCAUUUGAUUUCAAUUUCAGUUUCGAUUUCAAAUUCAAAACUUCAAACCAACAGGAGAGGAAGCUACACCAUAGAACGCAUCUUCUCCACCUAUGAAGAGGGGUUUUUCAAUCAUCUCAAUCUAGAUAGUUUCCUUGCGUUGAAUGGGGAUGGUUCUGGUGAAGUCAUGGCCUCUGUUUUUUGUUUCGUAACUAAAUGAAUCUCAAUCUACAAUUGACUAUUUUCAUUCUGAGGAGGGGAAUCCCAGCACUGGUUGUCAGCUUUGUGGUCUGGAAUCCUCCGGAGUUUGCUAAGAAUUUGCUUCCAACUUACUUCAAGCACAACAAUUUCUCCAGCUUUGUCAGGCAACUCAAUACUUAUGUAAGCACAUUAGUCUUUUAUAUUUUCGUGUAUUUUACUUUUGUUUGUACGAGUACAAGUGCGACGGGUGAGAGAAGAAUCCUGGCAAUCGAGCUAGGCACUACUGUUAAACCAACACGGGAAAUUCUGUGUCCUGGCUAUAGUUAUGGUUUUAUGGUUCUGCAGUUAGAUUCCUUCUAAAGAUUAAAUUGUUUGAAAUAUAUAGAACUUGAGAAGAUGUCAUAAACAAGUUAUUUUUGAUACAGUGUCUAUCAAGGGCUCUCCGGGAUGAAAAACCCAAAGCUUUUAAUGGCAGCAUCAGCUUUGGCUUUACCCAUCCAGCCUCAAAAGGCGUCAGUUGUUCACACGGGAAUGAUGGAAGUAUAUUUCUUUAGGUGUUUCUUGCCAGACUGUCAUAUUUUUUUCUUAAAUUGUUCUCCUGCAUCAAUUUUUCUCAAAUUUCACGACUUCUAGCAGAUGAUCUGCAAAAGAGGGUGUAAUCAUUUGAAAUCCAUUAUGAGUAGUUUGUAGACUGUUGCUUUUGUUUAUUUAUUUCAGGUUGCAUUUGCGAAAAGAGCCCUUAAAGAUCCAAAACUCAAGAUGGCAUACAAUGUACAUAAGAUGUAUUUCUAUAUACAUAUUUAUAUUAAAAUUUUAAUUAUAAUUGAUGUAUAUUAAUGAAUAGAUAUUAAUGU